UGGGGAAUAUUGGACAAUGGGGGCAACCCUGAUCCAGCGAUGCCGCGUGUGCGAAGAAGGCCUGCGGGUUGUAAAGCACUUUGAUGGGGGAAGAAGGGUUAUGGUCGAAUAGGCUAUGACAUUGACGUUACCCCAAGAACAAGCACCGGCUAACUCUGUGCCAGCAGCCGCGGUAAUACAGAGGGUGCGAGCGUUAAUCGGAAUUACUGGGCGUAAAGGGCGCGUAGGCGGCUAUAUAAGUUAGGUGUGAAAUCCCCGGGCUUAACCUGGGAAUUGCAUUUAAGACUGUAUGGCUAGAGUAGAGUAGAGGGAAGUGGAAUUUCCGGUGUAGCGGUGAAAUGCGUAGAUAUCGGAAAGAACAUCAGUGGCGAAGGCGGCUUUCUGGACUUAUACUGACGCUGAGGCGCGAAAGCAUGGGUAGCAAACAGGAUUAGAUACCCCGGUAGUCC
rnacentral:rRNA from 1 species